rnacentral:rRNA from 1 species
GAUGAACGCUGGCGGCGUGCCUAAUACAUGCGAGUCGAGCGAACGGACGAGAAGCUUGCCUCUCUGAUGUUAGCGGCGGACGGGUGAGUAACACGUGGAUAACCUACCUAUAAGACUGGGAUAACUUCGGGAAACCGGAGCUAAUACCGGAUAAUAUUUUGAACCGCAUGGUUCAAAAGUGAAAGACGGUCUUGCUGUCACUUAUAGAUGGAUCCGCGCUGCAUUAGCUAGUUGGUAAGGUAACGGCUUACCAAGGCAACGAUGCAUAGCCGACCUGAGAGGGUGAUCGGCCACACUGGAACUGAGACACGGUCCAGACUCCUACGGGAGGCAGCAGUAGGGAAUCUUCCGCAAUGGGCGAAAGCCUGACGGAGCAACGCCGCGUGUGUGAUGAAGGUCUUCGGAUCGUAAAACUCUGUUAUUAGGGAAGAACAUAUGUGUAAGUAACUGUGCACAUCUUGACGGUACCUAAUCAGAAAGCCACGGCUAACUACGUG